rnacentral:rRNA from 1 species
AAGCGAUUAGUGACUUAGUGGCGGACGGGUGAGUAACGCGUGGGUAACCUACCUUAUACAGGGGGAUAACAACCGGAAACGGUUGCUAAAACCGCAUAAUAUACGCACAUCGCAUGAUGAGCGUAUUAAAGAUUAUAUUGGUAUAAGAUGGACCCGCGUCUGAUUAGCUAGUUAGUGGGAUAAAAGCCUACCAAGGCGAUGAUCAGUAGCCGGCUUGAGAGAGUGACCGGCCACAUUGGGACUGAGACACGGCCCGAACUCCUACGGGAGGCAGCAGUGGGGAAUAUUGCACAAUGGGCGAAAGCCUGAUGCAGCGACGCCGCGUGAGUGAAGAAGUACUUCGGUAUGUAAAGCUCUAUCAGCAGGGACGAUAAUGACGGUACCUGACUAAGAAGCCCCGGCUAACUACGUGCCAGCAGCCGCGGUAAUACGUAGGGGGCAAGCGUUAUCCGGAUUUACUGGGUGUAAAGGGAGCGUAGGUGGUAGUGCAAGUCAGAUGUGAAAGCCCGUUGCUUAACAGCGGGAUUGCAUCAGAAACUGCAUUACUAGAGUACAGGAGA